GAGCUGUUUAUACUGUUGUGAAGAUCAUUUCAAUAUUGAAGAGGAUACAGAAAAUUAUAUUAAAUACAAAAUAAUGGCAUUAGAACAUGGACAAAAAGUGAAGUUGCGAU